GCCCAGUUGACGAGUCCCAUGUAAGACGAAACGCGCGUCAAACUGGAC
rnacentral:hammerhead_ribozyme from 1 species